rnacentral:rRNA from 1 species
AUUGAACGCUGGCGGCAUGCCUAACACAUGCAAGUCGAACGAGUGGCGGACGGGUGAGUAAUGUAUGGGAAAUUGCCCGAUGGGGGGGGAUAACUACUGGAAACGGUGGCUAAUACCGCAUACCAUCGGAUGUGCCCAGAUGGGAUUAGCUAGUGGGUGGGGUAAAGGCUCACCAAGGCGACGGUCCCUAGCUGGUUUGAGAGGAGGACCAGCCACACUGGAACUGAGACACGGCCCAGACUCCUACGGGAGGCAGCAGUGGGGAAUAUUGGACAAUGGGGGCAAGCCUGAUGCAGCCAUGCCGCGUGUAUGAAGAAGGCCUUCGGGUUGUAAAGUACUUUCAGCGAGGAGGCGUUACUCGCAGAAUAAGCACCGGCUAACUCCGUGCCAGCAGCCGCGGUAAUAC